UAUUUGUAUAUAGCCUAGCAUGGUCC
rnacentral:piRNA from 1 species